GAAUCAAACAUCUCUAAUUCUUGUUCAGCUCUCUCUCUCUCUCUCGAUCUUCAUUUCAAGAUUUAUAAUGGCUUUUGCUGCAUUCAAGUCCUUGGCUGUUGUUUUCUUGGUGGCAGUCUUUGCUGCUGCUUCUGUUUCAGCUCAAGAUUUGGGAGAUUUGGCACCAGCACCAGCUCCAGCUAUGGAUAAAGGAGCAGCUUAUUCUUUGGGGAUGUCUGGGGCUGUGAUUUGCUCUUCUCUCUUCUUGUCCAUGCUUGCUUUCUUGAAGCACUAAAGAUCUCAUUUUUUUCCCCAGAUCUGAGAUGAGAUUUAUUGUUUAUACAUUAUGGGUUUUUGACAGAUUGAGCCGAGAGUUUGUUAAUUAUUUGAUUCAUUGUUUUAGUUACAGAUUGGAAUAAAGGACUAAUAUGAGCUGUUCUGUAUCACUAUGAUUAUGAUGGGGAACAUUUACAUACAUUGGACUUAAUGUAUAAUUUUGAUUAUUAUUUGGAUUAUAUUUAUAGAGAGGUUCAUUUUUCCAUCU
rnacentral:misc_RNA from 1 species